GUCUUGAGCAAAAAAAGUGAUUUAUUAAAUCAUGUGCAAGACAGACAACCGACGUUUCGACCCCUGCGGGUCUUGAAAAAGGCCUGCAGGGGUCGAAACGUCAGUUGUCUUUAUCUUGCACAUGAUUUAAUAAAUCACUUUUUUUGCUCAAGAC